GAAAAAAUCGGUUGUCCAUUCUUGUUUCUUAAGUUUCAUUUUUCCCUUCCAAUAUUACCCUUGAACUAUAGUUAAUAACUAACCAUAGUUACAACCUAGUAGGAGAAACCCAUCAUCAUUCAAACAUUCACAAAAUCAUUCCGUCCAUCCAAUUCAAUCAUUCUCGAUUCUCAUAGAAAAACAAAACCCAAACUUUUCAUCACCCUCGAUUCAGAUUCCAACCAAAAAUAAACCAUUAUCUAACUCUUCAAACCCAUCAUUUUGACUCCUAAACUUCCUGUGUGGAAAACAUGAAUUGUUAGAAAGAGAAUUCGAAAAGAAGAUGAAGCAGAGAUUAAGAGAAAGAAGAACAGAGAAAAAAGGGGAGGGAGUCCGAGAGAGUUAGUCCAUAUUAUGCAACACUAGAGUUGCUUGGUAAGUGUUUGUUGAAAUGCUUCAACUAAUUAUGUUAUGUAAUUGCUUGUUCACCUCGUCUGUAGACCAAAUGUAGGCGUAAUCCUAUGUAUGUAGGAUAUUAGAGGAAUUAUUGGUGAUUUAUUUUGAAUUCAUGAUAGGCCCUCGUUGUAGAAUGUCUGAUAUGUACGUACAGUUAUGGAGUGGUUAGGGUAGUUUAGUUGGUUACUCCAAGGAUGCUGCUAUAUAUAUAGUGGUGGUGUACCUGUAUGUGAUGUUGAUGAAUGAAAUGGAUUGAUGUAUCCUCUGUGUCUGUAAACCUCUUAUCUGUUUUCUAAUGAAUUCUUCUAUUCCUUGUCUGCA